rnacentral:rRNA from 1 species
GACGAACGCUGGCGGCGUGCUUAACACAUGCAAGUCGAACGGAAAGGCCCUGCUUUUGUGGGGUGCUCGAGUGGCGAACGGGUGAGUAACACGUGAGUAACCUGCCCUGGACUUUGGGAUAACUUCAGGAAACUGGGGCUAAUACCGGAUAGGAGCUCCUGCUGCAUGGUGGGGGUUGGAAAGUUUCGGCGGUUGGGGAUGGACUCGCGGCUUAUCAGCUUGUUGGUGGGGUAGUGGCUUACCAAGGCUUUGACGGGUAGCCGGCCUGAGAGGGUGACCGGCCACGUUGGGACUGCGAUACGGCCCAGACUCCUACGGGAGGCAGCAGUGGGGAAUAUUGCGCAAUGGGCGGAAGCCUGAUGCAGCAACGCCGCGUGCGGGAUGACGGCCUUCGGGUUGUAAACCGCUUUCGCCUGUGACGAAGCGUGAGUGACGGUAAUGGGUAAAGAAGCACCGGCUAACUACGUG